rnacentral:rRNA from 1 species
AUAAUCAUGGAGUAUAAUAAUUAAAUUUAAUAAAUUUAAUAUAACUAUUAAUAGAAUUAGGUUACUAAUAAAUUAAUAACAAUUAAUUUUAAAACCUAAAGGUAAACCUUUAUAUUAAUAAUGUUUUUUUUUAUUAUUUUUAUAAUAAGAAUAAUUAUUAAUAAUAAUAAACUAAGUGAACUGAAACAUCUAAGUAACUUAAGGAUAAGAAAUCAACAGAGAUAUUAUGAGUAUUGGUGAGAGAAAAUAAUAAAGGUCUAAUAAGUAUUAUGUGAAAAAAAUGUAAGAAAAUAGGAUAACAAAUUCUAAGACUAAAUACUAUUAAUAAGUAUAGUAAGUACCGUAAGGGAAAGUAUGAAAAUGAUUAUUUUAUAAGCAAUCAUGAAUAUAUUAUAUUAUAUUAAUGAUGUACCUUUUGUAUAAUGGGUCAGCAAGUAAUUAAUAUUAGUAAAACAAUAAGUUAUAAAUAAAUAGAAUAAUAUAUAUAUAUAUAAAAAUAUAUUAAAAUAUUUAAUUAAUAUUAAUUGACCCGAAAGCAAACGAUCUAACUAUGAUAAGAUGGAUAAACGAUCGAACAGGUUGAUGUUGCAAUAUCAUCUGAUUAAUUGUGGUUAGUAGUGAAAGACAAAUCUGGUUUGCAGAUAGCUGGUUUUCUAUGAAAUAUAUGUAAGUAUAGCCUUUAUAAAUAAUAAUUAUUAUAUAAUAUUAUAUUAAUAUUAUAUAAAGAAUGGUACAGCAAUUAAUAUAUAUUAGGGAACUAUUAAAGUUUUAUUAAUAAUAUUAAAUCUCGAAAUAUUUAAUUAUAUAUAAUAAAGAGUCAGAUUAUGUGCGAUAAGGUAAAUAAUCUAAAGGGAAACAGCCCAGAUUAAGAUAUAAAGUUCCUAAUAAAUAAUAAGUGAAAUAAAUAUUAAAAUAUUAUAAUAUAAUCAGUUAAUGGGUUUGACAAUAACCAUUUUUUAAUGAACAUGUAACAAUGCACUGAUUUAUAAUAAAUAAAAAAAAUAAUAUUUAAAAUCAAAUAUAUAUAUAUUUGUUAAUAGAUAAUAUACGGAUCUUAAUAAUAAGAAUUAUUUAAUUCCUAAUAUGGAAUAUUAUAUUUUUAUAAUAAAAAUAUAAAUACUGAAUAUCUAAAUAUUAUUAUUACUUUUUUUUUAAUAAUAAUAAUAUGGUAAUAGAACAUUUAAUGAUAAUAUAUAUUAGUUAUUAAUUAAUAUAUGUAUUAAUUAAAUAGAGAAUGCUGACAUGAGUAACGAAAAAAAGGUAUAAACCUUUUCACCUAAAACAUAAGGUUUAACUAUAAAAGUACGGCCCCUAAUUAAAUUAAUAAGAAUAUAAAUAUAUUUAAGAUGGGAUAAUCUAUAUUAAUAAAAAUUUUAUCUUAAAAUAUAUAUAUUAUUAAUAAUUAUAUUAAUAAUAUAUAUAAUUAUAUUAUAUAUUAUAUAUUUUUUUAUAUAAUAUAAACUAAUAAAGAUCAGGAAAUAAUUAAUGUAUACCGUAAUGUAGACCGACUCAGGUAUGUAAGUAGAGAAUAUGAAGGUGAAUUAGAUAAUUAAAGGGAAGGAACUCGGCAAAGAUAGCUCAUAAGUUAGUCAAUAAAGAGUAAUAAGAACAAAGUUGUACAACUGUUUACUAAAAACACCGCACUUUGCAGAAACGAUAAGUUUAAGUAUAAGGUGUGAACUCUGCUCCAUGCUUAAUAUAUAAAUAAAAUUAUUUAACGAUAAUUUAAUUAAAUUUAGGUAAAUAGCAGCCUUAUUAUGAGGGUUAUAAUGUAGCGAAAUUCCUUGGCCUAUAAUUGAGGUCCCGCAUGAAUGACGUAAUGAUACAACAACUGUCUCCCCUUUAAGCUAAGUGAAAUUGAAAUCGUAGUGAAGAUGCUAUGUACCUUCAGCAAGACGGAAAGACCCUAUGCAGCUUUACUGUAAUUAGAUAGAUCGAAUUAUUGUUUAUUAUAUUCAGCAUAUUAAGUAAUCCUAUUAUUAGGUAAUCGUUUAGAUAUUAAUGAGAUACUUAUUAUAAUAUAAUGAUAAUUCUAAUCUUAUAAAUAAUUAUUAUUAUUAUUAUUAAUAAUAAUAAUAUGCUUUCAAGCAUAGUGAUAAAACAUAUUUAUAUGAUAAUCACUUUACUUAAUAGAUAUAAUUCUUAAGUAAUAUAUAAUAUAUAUUAUAUAUAUAUUAUAUAUAAUAUAAGAGACAAUCUCUAAUUGGUAGUUUUGAUGGGGCGUCAUUAUCAGCAAAAGUAUCUGAAUAAGUCCAUAAAUAAAUAUAUAAAAUUAUUGAAUAAAAAAAAAAUAAUAUAUAUUAUAUAUAUUAAUUAUAAAUUGAAAUAUGUUUAUAUAAAUUUAUAUUUAUUGAAUAUAUUUUAGUAAUAGAUAAAAAUAUGUACAGUAAAAUUGUAAGGAAAACAAUAAUAACUUUCUUAAAAAAAUAAAAAUGGAAAGAAUUAAAUUAAUAUAAUGGUAUAACUGUGCGAUAAUUGUAACACAAACGAGUGAAACAAGUACGUAAGUAUGGCAUAAUGAACAAAUAACACUGAUUGUAAAGGUUAUUGAUAACGAAUAAAAGUUACGCUAGGGAUAACAGGGUAAUAUAACGAAAGAGUAGAUAUUGUAAGUUAUGUUUGCCACCUCGAUGUCGACUCAACAUUUCCUCUUGGUUGUAAAAGCUAAGAAGGGUUUGACUGUUCGUCAAUUAAAAUGUUACGUGAGUUGGGUUAAAUACGAUGUGAAUCAGUAUGGUUCCUAUCUGCUGAAGGAAAUAUUAUCAAAUUAAAUCUCAUUAUUAGUACGCAAGGACCAUAAUGAAUCAACCCAUGGUGUAUCUAUUGAUAAUAAUAUAAUAUAUUUAAUAAAAAUAAUACUUUAUUAAUAUAUUAUCUAUAUUAGUUUAUAUUUUAAUUAUAUAUUAUCAUAGUAGAUAAGCUAAGUUGAUAAUAAAUAAAUAUUGAAUACAUAUUAAAUAUGAAGUUGUUUUAAUAAGAUAAUUAAUCUGAUAAUUUUAUACUAAAAUUAAUAAUUAUAGGUUUUAUAUAUUAUUUAUAAAUAAAUAUAUUAUAAUAAUAAUAAUUAUUAUUAUUAAUAAAAAAUAU